GGGGUGCCUCGAGCCGUAAAAACCCACCCGGUGACGUUCGUUUCUAAAGGUGGACACCAUUAAGACGGCAAAGGACAGAGGAGAAUACUUCAAGUAACCUACUUCAACGUCCCUAAAACUGGACACCCCUGCGUUUCAUGCCCACUGAGAGUCUAACACGUCCCUGGCAGGCCACCAGGGGGCGCCGUGUCGAGGGGGUGGGGCCUAUAAUUCACAGUGGCUGGGCACACCAACAUGGAGGGACACUUUCUUCCCCGGGCAGCAGCUACAGAAGGACACGGCGGCGGGCUGCCGGUCGCCCCUGACAACCAGCGUGAUAAAAGGUCCUCCCUUAACUAAAGUCGUAAAGCACGGCGCAAUAAAAGUCAAUCUCCUGUAAAA